GAUGAAGAACGCAGCGAAACGCGAUAUGUAAUGUGAAUUGCAGAAUUCAGUGAAUCAUCGAAUCUUUGAACGCACAUGGCGCCUUCCAGUAUCCUGGGAGGCAUGCCUGUCCGAGCGUCGUUUCAACCCUCGAGCCCCCGUGGCCCGGCGUUGGGGAUCUGCCACGGCAGGCCCCUAAAACCAGUGGCGGACCCGAAGGCCCUCUCCUUUGCGCAGUAGCAUCAGCCUCGCAUUGGGAUCCCUCGGCGUCCUGCCUCUAAACCCCCCACAAGUCCGCUCCGGCGGCACCAAGGUUGACCUCGAAUCAGGUAGGAAUACCCGCUGAACUUAAGCAUAUCAAUAAGCGGAGGA
rnacentral:misc_RNA from 1 species